CUCGCCUACAUGAAGCUGGAGUUACUAGUAAUCGCAGAUCAGAAUGCUGCGGUGAAUGCGUUCCCGGGUCUUGUACACACCGCCCGUCACACCACGGAAGUUGGGGGCGCCCGAAGCCACUUAGCUAACCCUUUGGGAAGCGAGUGUCGAAGGUGAAAUCAAUAACUGGGGUGAAGUCGUAACAAGGUAGC
rnacentral:rRNA from 1 species